UCGAAUCAUUUUUCCGAUAUGAAGACGAAAAUUCAGCGGGUAAAUAAAAAAGUAAAAACAAGAUUGGCGGGAAGAUUGUUUGCCUUCCUAAAUAUCUCAGACCGCCACUUUCAUUUCCUCUCUCUUUCCUUUCCCAGAUCGGUUUCUAAGGUUUUCAAAGAUGUUCUCAGGCUCCCAAUUCGACGCGACCAACGCCUUCUCCGGCGGUGGUUUCAUGGCUUCUCAGUCCACUCAAUUCGGCGAUUCCACUCCCUCUCCGGCCAAGCGCCGCGAAACUCACGGAUUGGUUCCGGUGACGGUGAAGCAGAUCAGCGAAGCUCAUCAGUUCGGUGAUGAAAAAUCAAACUUUGUGAUCAAUGGUGCAGACGUUGCCAAUGUAUCGGUGGUUAGGAUGGCUUUCGAUAAUGCCGAAAGGAACACUGAUGUUGGUUUCACUGUGGAUGACGGGACAGGGCGAAUCAAGUGCCGAAGAUGGGUGAAUGAGAAUUUUGACUCAAGAGAAAUGCAAGAAAUAGAAGAUGGAAUGUAUGUUCGUGUUAACGGACACUUGAAAGUCUUUCAAGGUGUUCGACAGAUUAUUGCCUUUUCUGUGAGGCCUGUGAAAAACUUUGACGAAGUUACCUUCCACUUCAUUGAAUGCAUACAUACCCACUUGCAGAUGUCCAAGUUACAUUACUAUUUUGAAUUGAUGAACGAAUUACUUUGUUUUCUGCAUUCAUUCACUUGAAGAUGAAUUUGAUAGACUGUACCUUAUAAUUUAUUAAAGCUGCAAGGGAACACUGCCACUCAAACCCAGCCUGUGAACUCAUCUUUGAACACUCCUGUGGAGAGCAGGUCAACUGGAUAUCAGACAGCCCCGUCAAACCAAUUAUGUUGUCAUUACUUGUUUGGCAAGCAAUUAAUGUUCAAUUUUGUAGUUCUCCGGGCAAGUUAGCAUUGAUGGACUAAAGAGCUGUGAUCAGUUGGUCCUUGACUAUCUGCAGCAGCCUUCAAGCAUUGGAAAAUAAAAGGGGAUACACACAGAUUAACUAUUCCAGCACCUGAAAGUUCCCAUGGAAAAGAUCUUUGAAGCUAUCAGGUCUCUCGAGGAGGAAGGCUUAAUAUACUCCACAAUCGACGAGUUUCACUACAAAUCAGCAGCAUAUGGUUAAUAUUCAUCACAAAUUGAACUUGGUGCUUAGGGUUGGAACUUGGAAGUACCUGUAUGAACACUGUUAUGUGUAUUUCUCUUCCCAUAUCUAAUUUAUCCCUUUGGAUCUUCAGGUGGGUUCAGUAUCAAAGUUCAAUUUAACCGAGCUCGCUAUUUUGGUUGAUCAAAAAAUGUUGCGAGAUAACAAAUUCAGUUUAUACUAAUCAUUUCCAACUUAGUGUUGGGAAAAUAUUAUUUCUUG